rnacentral:rRNA from 1 species
GUCCACGCUGUAAACUAUGAGAACUAGAUGUUAGGGGGCAUGACCUCUUAGUAUCGUAGCAAACGCGAUAAGUUCUCCGCCUGGGGAGUACGGCCGCAAGGUUAAAACUCAAAGGAAUUGACGGGGGCCCGCACAAGCGGUGGAGCAUGUGGUUUAAUUCGAUGCAACGCGAAGAACAUUACCUACCUUUGAAUCCACGGAAUUUUGCAGAGAUGCAGAAGUGCCUUCGGGAACCGUGAGACAGGUGCUGCAUGGCUGUCGU